UACUAGCCUCAGAGAGACACUGUCACCUUU
rnacentral:piRNA from 1 species